rnacentral:rRNA from 1 species
UUACGGUCAAAUCACGCUGAAAACACCGGUUCUCGUUCGAUCACCGAAGUUAAGCACCGUAGAGCCAGGUCAGUACUUAGAUGGGGGACCGCUUGGGAACACCUGGUACUGUAAG